CGUGAAGGAUAACGUUGCGUCAGCAACGGCCCGUAGGGCAGGGCGAAGCCGAGUCAUCCUGCACGACCCACCA
rnacentral:sRNA from 4 species